CGCCCAGACUCCUACGGGAGGCAGCAGUGGGGGAUAUUGGACAAUGGGGGAAACCCUGAUCCAGCGACGCCGCGUGAGUGAAGAAGUAUUUCGGUAUGUAAAUCUCUGUCAGCAGGGAAGAAAGAAAUGACGGUACCUGGCCAAGAAGCCCCGGCUAACUACGUGCCAGCAGCCGCGGUAAUACGUAGGGGGCAAGCGUUAUCCGGAAUUACUGGGUGUAAAGGGAGCGUAGACGGCACUGCAAGUCCGGAGUGAAAGCCCAAGGCUUAACCAUGGGACUGCUCUGGAAACUGUGGAGCUUGAGUGCGGGAGGGGCAGGCGGAAUUCCUAGUGUAGCGGUGAAAUGCGUAGAUAUUAGGAGGAACACCAGUGGCGAAGGCGGUCUGCUGGACAGCAACUGACGCUGAGGCGCGAAAGCGUGGGGAGCAAACAGGAUUAGAUACCCCAGUAC
rnacentral:rRNA from 1 species